AUUGAACGCUGGCGGCAGGCCUAACACAUGCAGGUCGAACGGUAACAGGAAGCAGCUUGCUGCUUCGCUGACGAGUGGCGGACGGGUGAGUAAUGUCUGGGAAGCUGCCUGAUGGAGGGGGAUAACUACUGGAAACGGUAGCUAAUACCGCAUAAUGUCGCAAGACCAAAGAGGGGGACCUUCGGGCCUCUUGCCAUCGGAUGUGCCCAGAUGGGAUUAGCUUGUUGGUGGGGUAACGGCUCACCAAGGCGACGAUCCCUAGCUGGUCUGUGAGGAUGACCAGCCACACUGGAACUGAGACACGGUCCAGACUCCUACGGGAGGCAGCAGUGGGGAAUAUUGCACAAUGGGCGCAAGCCUGAUGCAGCCAUGCCGCGUGUAUGAAGAAGGCCUUCGGGUUGUAAAGUACUUUCAGCGGGGAGGAAGGGAGUAAAGUUAAUACCUUUGCUCAUUGACGUUACCCGCAGAAGAAGCACCGGCUAACUCCGUG
rnacentral:rRNA from 1 species